GCCUUGAUGUGUAGGAUAGGUGGGAGGCUUUGAAGUGUGGACGCCAGUCUGCAUGGAGCCGACCUUGAAAUACCACCCUUUAAUGUUUGAUGUUCUAACGUGGACCCGUGAUCCGGGUUGCGGACAGUGUCUGGUGGGUAGUUUGACUGGGGCGGUCUCCUCCUAAAGAGUAACGGAGGAGCACGAAGGUUGGCUAAUCCUGGUCGGACAUCAGGAGGUUAGUGCAAUGGCAUAAGCCAGCUUGACUGCGAGCGUGACGGCGCGAGCAGGUGCGAAAGCAGGUCAUAGUGAUCCGGUGGUUCUGAAUGGAAGGGCCAUCGCUCAACGGAUAAAAGGUACUCCGGGGAUAACAGGCUGAUACCGCCCAAGAGUUCAUAUCGACGGCGGUGUUUGGCACCUCGAUGUCGGCUCAUCACAUCCUGGGGCUGAAGUAGGUCCCAAGGGUAUGGCUGUUCGCCAUUUAAAGUGGUACGCGAGCUGGGUUUAGAACGUCGUGAGACAGUUCGGUCCCUAUCUGCCGUGGGCGCUGGAGAACUGAGGGGGGCUGCUCCUAGUACGAGAGGACCGGAGUGGACGCAUCACUGGUGUUCGGGUUGUCAUGCCAAUGGCACUGCCCGGUAGCUAAAUGCGGAAGAGAUAAGUGCUGAAAGCAUCUAAGCACGAAACUUGCCCCGAGAUGAGUUCUCCCUGAGACUUAGAGUCUCCUGAAGGAACGUUGAAGACGACGACGUUGAUAGGCCGGGUGUGUAAGCGCAGCGAUGCGUUGAGCUAACCGGUACUAAUGAACCGUGAGGCUUAACCUUACA
rnacentral:rRNA from 1 species